AGAGUUUGAUCCUGGCUCAGAUUGAACGCUGGCGGCAUGCCUUACACAUGCAAGUCGGACGGCAGCGCGGGAGCAAUCCUGGCGGCGAGUGGCGAACGGGUGAGUAAUACAUCGGAACAUGUCCAGUAGUGGGGGAUAGCCCGGCGAAAGCCGGAUUAAUACCGCAUACGAUCUAUGGAUGAAAGCGGGGGAUCGCAAGACCUCGCGCUAUUGGGGUGGCCGAUGGCGGAUUAGCUAGUUGGUGGGGUAAAGGCCUACCAAGGCGACGAUUCGUAGCUGGUCUGAGAGGACGACCAGCCACACUGGGACUGAGACACGGCCCAGACUCCUACGGGAGGCAGCAGUGGGGAAUUUUGGACAAUGGGCGAAAGCCUGAUCCAGCAAUGCCGCGUGUGUGAAGAAGGCCUUCGGGUUGUAAAGCACUUUUGUCCGGGAGGAAAUCCCCUGCCCUAAUACGGCGGGGGGAUGACGGUACCGGAAGAAUAAGCACCGGCUAACUACGUGCCAGCAGCCGCGGUAAA
rnacentral:rRNA from 1 species